ensembl:snRNA U6 U6 spliceosomal RNA
GUGCUUGCUUUGGCAGCACAUAUAUUAAAAUUGGUAAGAUAAACAGAAGAUUAGCAUGACCUCUGUGCAAGGAUAACACAUAAAUUCACACAAUUUUCCAUAUUUUG